GAUGAACGCUGGCGGCGUGCCUAAUACAUGCAAGUCGAGCGAACGGACGAGAAGCUUGCUUCUGUGAUGUUAGCGGCGGACGGGUGAGUAACACGUGGAUAACCUACCUAUAAGACUGGGAUGACUUCGGGAAACCGGAGCUAAUACCGGAUAAUAUUUUGAACCGCUUGGUUCAAAAGUGAAAGACGGUCUUGCUGUCACUGAGAGAUGGAUCCGCGCUGCAUUAGCUAGUUGGUAAGGUAACGGCUUACCAAGGCAACGAUGCAUAGCCGACCUGAGAGGGUGAUCGACCACACUGGAACUGAGACACGGUCCAGACUCCUACGAGAGGCAGCAGUAGGGAAUAUUCCGCAAUGGGGGAAAGCCUGACGGAGCAACGACGCGUGAGUGAUGAAGGUCUUCGGAUCGUAAAACUCUGUUAUUAGGGAAGAACAUAUGUGUAAGUGACUGUGCACAUCUUGACGGUACCUAAUCAGAAAGCCACGGCUAACUACGUG
rnacentral:rRNA from 1 species